UCGCUCUCAUUUUAUCCACACAAUUUUCUUACUUUUCAUUGAAGGGUCCUUCAAUCAGAUAACAAUGAAGUUCAUUUUCUCGACCAAAUGAUCAUCAAUUUAAGGGACUCCCUUUGUUACUUAUUGUAACCUUUGACUUAAAUCACGGCGUGUUGGAGGGUUGAAACAGCAGGUGGGCAUCUGCCUUCAGGAAAACUAUUGGUUCAGUGUAAAUGAGCAAACAUGAGUACUUGUUGGAGGGUUGUUUUCCACACAAGUUGUCAGCCUUUUUUGUAGGUGCUUUGUGAUUGGCAUUGUCUGCUUUUCCAAGCACAUGCAGCUUGUGGUUCUGGUGUGUAGUGUAUUGGUAAAGCUAAAACCAUAUUUCUCAAACUGAUAUAAAAUCCAAUACUAAAUUAAAACCAAAAA